GAGGCGAGAGAGGCCGACGGUAUUCCCGGGGUAGGGGUGAAAUCCUAUAAUCCCGGGAGGACCACCAGUGGCGAAGGCUGUCGGCUAGAACGCGCUCGACGGUGAGGGACGAAAGCUGGGGGAGCGAACCGGAUUAGAUACCCGGGUAGUCCUAGCUGUAAACGAUGCGGGCUAGGUGUUGGGGUGGCUACGAGCCACUUCAGUGCCGCAGCGAAGCCAUUAAGCCCGCCGCCUGGGGAGUACGGCCGCAAGGCUGAAACUUAAAGGAAUUGGCGGGAGAGCACCACAAGGCGUGAAGCUUGCGGUUCAAUUGGAGUCAACGCCGGGAACCUUACCGGGGGCGACAGCAGGAUGAAGGCCAGAUUGAAGGUCUUACCAGACGAGCUGAGAGGAGGUGCAUGGCCGUCGCCAGUUCGUGCCGUGAGGUGUCCUGUUAAGUCAGGCAACGAUCGAGACCCGCACUCCCUGUUGCCAGCGGACCCCGCUGGGAUGCCGGGCACACUGGGGGGACUGCCGCCGAUAAGGCGGAGGAAGGAGCGGGCCACGGCAGGUCAGUAUGCCCCGAAUCCCCCGGGCCACACGCGAGCUGCAAUGGCUGGGACAAUGGGUUUCAACCCUGAAAGGGGGAGGCAAUCCCGAAACCCAGCCUCAGUUGGAAUCGAGGGCUGCACCCGCCCUCGUGAACAUGGA
rnacentral:rRNA from 1 species